rnacentral:rRNA from 1 species
GGGUCAGUAGGUUGGUCGUGCCACCGGUACGUACUGGUCUCACUGAUUCCUCCUUCCUGAAGAACCGUAACGCCAUUAAUUUGGUGUUGCGGGGAAACAGGACUGUUACUCUGAAAAAAUUAGAGUGUUUAAAGCAAGCUAACGCUUGAAUACAUUAGCAUGGAAUAAUGAAAUAGGACGAUCGAUCCUAUUUUGUUGGUUUCUAGGAUUGACGUA